UCUGUUUUUUCUUCUUCCCCUUUCACUGUGUUGUUAGUCAAGCAUUUCCUGGCAGCCAGUGGAACGUAUUCGUGCGUGUGUGUGUGUGUGUGUGUGUGUGUAAGGGUGAUUCGACACGUUUGCACUUGUGCCCAGAAAUGUGAUACAGGAUUCAAAUGAAAGGUGUGACAAUGACGAUGAUGAUGAUGAUGAUGAUGAAGGAGCAAGCCAAGAAAAAAAUAACAAUGACAUAACGUGCCAAAUAAAUAUAGAUAUCAAGUUGAGGAAGGGUUCACUGCCAAUAAACAUCUUGAUGACUGCUUUAAUGUGUUUUGGCUGAGCGAGGAACUCAACACUCAAAGGGAACCACAAGGCAGGUCCUCCCAUGGCUCUUGGUGUGGGUGCAUACCUGUAAGGUUCCCUGGCGCUCCUGGACAAAAGAUGUUUUUGUACUGCCUUGGGCCAUGUAAAAUCCUGUAGGCCUAAUAUUGAAUAACACGGUGGUAACAUGA